rnacentral:misc_RNA from 1 species
GUCAAAAGUCUGCUAAACCGCGGAGGAAAUGCCGUAAUGAAACUGUUUAACAAUUUCAAUGGUUAACAAUCUGAAGUUAUCAUUACAAGGUUACCUGGAUAUCUGCAUCAACCAAACAAAAAUUCUUGUAUAUUUGAUGAGAAUAAUAAAUAACAAUAAUACCUGC